rnacentral:rRNA from 1 species
UACGGAGGGUGCGAGCGUUGUCCGGAUUUAUUGGGUUUAAAGGGUGCGUAGGCGGCCUUAUAAGUCAGCGGUGAAAGUCAGUGGCUCAACCAUUGGAGUGCCGUUGAUACUGUUGGGCUUGAGUACGGGAGAGGUACAUGGAAUUUAUGGUGUAGCGGUGAAAUGCAUAGAUACCAUAAGGAACACCGAUAGCGUAGGCAUUGUACUUGCCCGUAACUGACGCUGAGGCACGAAAGCAUGGGUAGCGAACAGG